AACAUAUCAAACGCGUCGAUGCGUUGGC
rnacentral:sRNA from 1 species